UUAUCGCAAUAAAAUAUUAUACGAGGAUAUAAAAAAGUGAAUAUGUGGAAACAUAAAGAAUUGUUCGUUGUAAAUAAUUUAAACAAAGGCGAAUUACGAGAAUAUUUAUCAUAUUUUACUACUAAAUAAAUGCGAUCUCACUAGGAACGGGGGAUUUAGCAGGUGAAUAAUUGGAUCCGUUCCACAGAGAAUUUGAAGGUUAUUUGUUUAAAACAUCGAGUGUGCAAUGUAUACGGUAACUAGAUAAUGCAAUGGAAGAAAGUAUCACGAGCGGCCAAAUAUUUAUAGAAAAGUAAAACUUGAAUAAAAUCAUUCGAUUGAUAAAAUAAUUGAAGUAGUUAAAGUAUUUGAUUGAAAGACAUUUAUUGAGGUCGUUUUAAAUUGGAUAAACGACUAAAAUGAACGAAAAACUUUAAAAUCUAUACGACAGAAAGAGAUGAAAUGAAAAUAAAAGACAUUUAUACAAGCCACCUUGGUCGGAGGCCCAGUG